rnacentral:rRNA from 1 species
GACGAACGCUGGCGGCGUGCUUAACACAUGCAAGUCGAACGGAAAGGCCCUGCUUUUGUGGGGUGCUCGAGUGGCGAACGGGUGAGUAACACGUGAGUAACCUGCCCUUGACUUUGGGAUAACUUCAGGAAACUGGGGCUAAUACCGGAUAGGAGCUCCUGCUGCAUGGUGGGGGUUGGAAAGUUUCGGCGGUCGGGGAUGGACUCGCGGCUUAUCAGCUUGUUGGUGGGGUAGUGGCUUACCAAGGCUUUGACGGGUAGCCGGCCUGAGAGGGUGACCGGCGACAUUGGGACUGCGAUACGGCGCAGACUCCUACGGGAGGCAGCAGUGGGGAAUAUUGCACAAUGGGCGGAAGCCGGAUGCAGCAACGCCGCGUGCGGGAUGACGGCCUUCGGGUUGUAAACCGCUUUCGCCUGUGACGAAGCGUGAGUGACGGUAAUGGGUAAAGAAGCACCGGCUAACUACGCG